UGCUACAGUACCAGGCUGCUACUUCAAGUUAAGGAUAUGGCUUUUGUGACUUAAAUAAAAUACGCUGACACUAGUAUCUUUUUGAUUGUUCUAUAACUGAGUUGGUCUCAAAAUAUUUACUUUCAGAACGAUAUUGGUCUUGCCUGAGUUAGGUCUAGAAAGGUCUUACCUAAGCUCAGUUCAGGUCAUAGUCUCACUUGAGAUAAAAUUAUAGAGAGGAAAGUCAGAACUAGUGAUCUGGGAGUCUUCAGUGGAAGGGCUCUCGCUCAAUGGAUAAAAGGUAUGCCAAAGAUAACAGGCCGACUCCUCCAAAGACCUCUGUGACAGAAUGGUUUAGCACCUUGAUCUAAACUCGUCACAUCAUGGGGUUGAAAGGUCCCCAGGGUUUGGUUGUUUGCUGAUUAAAGAGGUACAAAAGCUGGGUUUAGAAUGUUGUGAGACUAUUUGGUUCCUAUCCGCUGUUGGUUUAAAGGGAGAACUAUGAAAUUUGAAUAGCCAACCCUAGUACAAGACUCGAGAGGAUUGGAUUGGGCAACCUGUGGUGUAUCAAUGUCAGAGUGCCGGUUAGCCACUUUGAUAUGUAAGAACCACUGAAAGCAUCUUAGUGGGAAAUCAUCCUUUUGACAAGUUCUUGUACAAAUUUUUUGAACAUCACUUUGACAGGCGAGAGGUGUAACCACAAUAAUGCAAUUAUCAGGGUCUCAAUCUACCACUAAGC
rfam:Picea glauca, whole genome shotgun sequence.